rnacentral:rRNA from 1 species
UACGGAGGGGGCUAGCGUUGUUCGGAAUUACUGGGCGUAAAGCGCACGUAGGCGGCUUUGCAAGUCAGAGGUGAAAGCCCGGGGCUCAACCCCGGAAUUGCCUUUGAGACUGCAUCGCUAGAAUUGUGGAGAGGUAAGUGGAAUUCCGAGUGUAGAGGUGAAAUUCGUAGAUAUCGUCUGGAACGCCGAAGGUGAAAACAGCUCGCUGGGGCUGCGCUGACGCUGAGACACGAAAGCCAGGGGAGCGAACGGG